rnacentral:rRNA from 1 species
AUGGCAAUGGCAGCAGUGGCGUCGCCGACCAUGGAGGUCGAUCAGGACCUCCCCGGCUUCCGGUUCCACCCCACGGAGGAGGAGCUCCUCGGCUUCUACCUCUCCCGCGUCGCCCUCGGCAAGAAGCUCCACUUCGACAUCAUCGGCACCCUCAACAUCUACCGCCACGAUCCCUGGGAUCUUCCUGGGAUGGCAAAGAUCGGGGAGAGGGAGUGGUACUUCUUCGUGCCGCGUGACCGGAAGGCGGGGAGCGGCGGGCGGCCGAACAGGACGACGGAGCGGGGGUUCUGGAAGGCCACGGGCUCCGACAGGGCCAUCCGGAGCACCGGCGACCCCAAGCGUGUCAUCGGCCUCAAGAAGACACUUGUCUUCUACCAGGGCCGCGCUCCCCGGGGCACAAAGAUGGACUGGGUCAUGAAUGAGUACCGCCUCCCCGACAACGGCGCGCCGCCGCCCCAGGAGGACACGGUGCUGUGCAAGGUGUACCGGAAGGCAACGCCGCUCAAGGAGCUCGAGCAAAGAGCCUUUCAGAUGGAGGAGAUGAAGCAGAGGUCCGGCGGCAACGGUGGGUACGACUACAGUGGCGCGGCCAGAGCGUGCCCUGUCCCGGCAGCCGGCGACUUCUACCUAUCGCCGUCCGACGACGUCCAGGACAACUUCCUGAUCCCCUCCUCGUCGUCGUCGUCGUCGGUGGCGCUGUCUGGCAAAAGCAGCAGCCACGACGCGCCCAGGGUAGCGAAGAAGGAAGCAGACGUCGCCACGGUCACCGUCGCGUCGACGUCGUCUCUGUCCCAAACGGUGAACGUGCCCUUCCAUCUGCAGCUCCCGGCCGUGAACCCACCCUGCGGCCUCCAGCUCCAGGAGGCGAACCACGGGAUGUCGAAUAUGUCAAGCCUGGAGCUACCGGCGGCGAACCAUGGGCUGUCAAACAUGUCCAACCUGCGGGUACCGGCGGCGAACCAGGGUGUGCUGGACCUACCCAGCCUGCAGCUCCCGGCGGCGAGCAGCCGCGGAGUGUUCGACUGGCUAAAUGACCCGUUCCUGACGCAGCUGCGCAGCCCGUGGCAGGACCAGCAUUGCAUGUCCCCUUACGCCCAUCUGCUCUACUAA